rnacentral:rRNA from 1 species
CGGCAGCACGGACUUCGGUCUGGUGGCGAGUGGCGAACGGGUGAGUAAUGUAUCGGAACGUGCCUAGUAGCGGGGGAUAACUACGCGAAAGCGUAGCUAAUACCGCAUACGCCCUACGGGGGAAAGCAGGGGAUCGUAAGACCUUGCACUAUUAGAGCGGCCGAUAUCGGAUUAGCUAGUUGGUGGGGUAACGGCUCACCAAGGCGACGAUCCGUAGCUGGUUUGAGAGGACGACCAGCCACACUGGGACUGAGACACGGCCCAGACUCCUACGGGAGGCAGCAGUGGGGAAUUUUGGACAAUGGGGGAAACCCUGAUCCAGCCAUCCCGCGUGUGCGAUGAAGGCCUUCGGGUUGUAAAGCACUUUUGGCAGGAAAGAAACGUCAUGGGUUAAUACCCCGUGAAACUGACGGUACCUGCAGAAUAAGCACCGGCUAACUACGUGCCAGCAGCCGCGGUAAUACGUAGGGUGCAAGCGUUAAUCGGAAUUACUGGGCGUAAAGCGUGCGCAGGCGGUUCGGAAAGAAAGAUGUGAAAUCCCAGAGCUUAACUUUGGAACUGCAUUUUUAACUACCGGGCUAGAGUGUGUCAGAGGGAGGUGGAAUUCCGCGUGUAGCAGUGAAAUGCGUAGAUAUGCGGAGG